UUAAGCGACUAAGCGUACACGGUGGAUGCCCUGGCAGUCAGAGGCGAUGAAGGACGUGCUAAUCUGCGAUAAGCGUCGGUAAGGUGAUAUGAACCGUUAUAACCGGCGAUUUCCGAAUGGGGAAACCCAGUGUGAUUCGUCACACUAUCAUUAACUGAAUCCAUAGGUUAAUGAGGCGAACCGGGGGAACUGAAACAUCUAAGUACCCCGAGGAAAAGAAAUCAACCGAGAUUCCCCCAGUAGCGCGAGCGACGGGAGCAGCCCAGAGCCUGAAUCAGUGUGUGUGUUAGUGGAAGCGUCUGGAAAGGCGCGCGAUACAGGGUGACAGCCCCGUACACAAAAAUGCACAUGCUGUGAGCUCGAUGAGUAGGGCGGGACACGUGGUAUCCUGUCUGAAUAUGGGGGGACCAUCCUCCAAGGCUAAAUACUCCUGACUGACCGAUAGUGAACCAGUACCGUGAGGGAAAGGCGAAAAGAACCCCGGCGAGGGGAGUGAAAAAGAACCUGAAACCGUGUACGUACAAGCAGUGGGAGCACGCUUAGGCGUGUGACUGCGUACCUUUUGUAUAAUGGGUCAGCGACUUAUAUUCUGUAGCAAGGUUAACCGAAUAGGGGAGCCGAAGGGAAACCGAGUCUUAACUGGGCGUUAAGUUGCAGGGUAUAGACCCGAAACCCGGUGAUCUAGCCAUGGGCAGGUUGAAGGUUGGGUAACACUAACUGGAGGACCGAACCGACUAAUGUUGAAAAAUUAGCGGAUGACUUGUGGCUGGGGGUGAAAGGCCAAUCAAACCGGGAGAUAGCUGGUUCUCCCCGAAAGCUAUUUAGGUAGCGCCUCGUGAAUUCAUCUCCGGGGGUAGAGCACUGUUUCGGCAAGGGGGUCAUCCCGACUUACCAACCCGAUGCAAACUACGAAUACCGGAGAAUGUUAUCACGGGAGACACACGGCGGGUGCUAACGUCCGUCGUGAAGAGGGAAACAACCCAGACCGCCAGCUAAGGUCCCAAAGUCAUGGUUAAGUGGGAAACGAUGUGGGAAGGCCCAGACAGCCAGGAUGUUGGCUUAGAAGCAGCCAUCAUUUAAAGAAAGCGUAAUAGCUCACUGGUCGAGUCGGCCUGCGCGGAAGAUGUAACGGGGCUAAACCAUGCACCGAAGCUGCGGCAGCGACGCUGAUGCGUUGUUGGGUAGGGGAGCGUUCUGUAAGCCUGCGAAGGUGUGCUGUGAGGCAUGCUGGAGGUAUCAGAAGUGCGAAUGCUGACAUAAGUAACGAUAAAGCGGGUGAAAAGCCCGCUCGCCGGAAGACCAAGGGUUCCUGUCCAACGUUAAUCGGGGCAGGGUGAGUCGACCCCUAAGGCGAGGCCGAAAGGCGUAGUCGAUGGGAAACAGGUUAAUAUUCCUGUACUUGGUGUUACUGCGAAGGGGGGACGGAGAAGGCUAUGUUGGCCGGGCGACGGUUGUCCCGGUUUAAGCGUGUAGGCUGGUUUUCCAGGCAAAUCCGGAAAAUCAAGGCUGAGGCGUGAUGACGAGGCACUACGGUGCUGAAGCAACAAAUGCCCUGCUUCCAGGAAAAGCCUCUAAGCAUCAGGUAACAUCAAAUCGUACCCCAAACCGACACAGGUGGUCAGGUAGAGAAUACCAAGGCGCUUGAGAGAACUCGGGUGAAGGAACUAGGCAAAAUGGUGCCGUAACUUCGGGAGAAGGCACGCUGAUAUGUAGGUGAAGUCCCUCGCGGAUGGAGCUGAAAUCAGUCGAAGAUACCAGCUGGCUGCAACUGUUUAUUAAAAACACAGCACUGUGCAAACACGAAAGUGGACGUAUACGGUGUGACGCCUGCCCGGUGCCGGAAGGUUAAUUGAUGGGGUCAGCGCAAGCGAAGCUCUUGAUCGAAGCCCCGGUAAACGGCGGCCGUAACUAUAACGGUCCUAAGGUAGCGAAAUUCCUUGUCGGGUAAGUUCCGACCUGCACGAAUGGCGUAAUGAUGGCCAGGCUGUCUCCACCCGAGACUCAGUGAAAUUGAACUCGCUGUGAAGAUGCAGUGUACCCGCGGCAAGACGGAAAGACCCCGUGAACCUUUACUAUAGCUUGACACUGAACAUUGAGCCUUGAUGUGUAGGAUAGGUGGGAGGCUUUGAAGUGUGGACGCCAGUCUGCAUGGAGCCGACCUUGAAAUACCACCCUUUAAUGUUUGAUGUUCUAACGUUGACCCGUAAUCCGGGUUGCGGACAGUGUCUGGUGGGUAGUUUGACUGGGGCGGUCUCCUCCUAAAGAGUAACGGAGGAGCACGAAGGUUGGCUAAUCCUGGUCGGACAUCAGGAGGUUAGUGCAAUGGCAUAAGCCAGCUUGACUGCGAGCGUGACGGCGCGAGCAGGUGCGAAAGCAGGUCAUAGUGAUCCGGUGGUUCUGAAUGGAAGGGCCAUCGCUCAACGGAUAAAAGGUACUCCGGGGAUAACAGGCUGAUACCGCCCAAGAGUUCAUAUCGACGGCGGUGUUUGGCACCUCGAUGUCGGCUCAUCACAUCCUGGGGCUGAAGUAGGUCCCAAGGGUAUGGCUGUUCGCCAUUUAAAGUGGUACGCGAGCUGGGUUUAGAACGUCGUGAGACAGUUCGGUCCCUAUCUGCCGUGGGCGCUGGAGAAUUGAGGGGGCUGCUCCUAGUACGAGAGGACCGGAGUGGACGCAUCACUGGUGUUCGGGUUGUCAUGCCAAUGGCACUGCCCGGUAGCUAAAUGCGGAAGAGAUAAGUGCUGAAAGCAUCUAAGCACGAAACUUGCCCCGAGAUGAGUUCUCCCUGACUCCUUGAGAGUCCUGAAGGAACGUUGAAGACGACGACGUUGAUAGGCCGGGUGUGUAAGCGCAGCGAUGCGUUGAGCUAACCGGUACUAAUGAACCGUGAGGCUUAACCUU
rnacentral:rRNA from 1 species